UUUCUAGAUUCUUCUAGUGCUUGAUGAUCUUCUGCAUCCCAUGAUGAGCAAACCUCCUGUCCAACAACAUCUCCAAGGCACACUGAUCCAUAUGACUAGCAGCGAAAUAUACAUUGUGGACCACAGAGGAAACUGACAACACACAGACAGAAGAAGACAGAGAAGGUCACUUCUGAUCCAUCAAAGUCCUCAUCUUCUGUGUCUGAGUUGAACAGCUGGGCAACAGCUUUUGAACAGCUUUCUUCAUCA